CAGGCAAGCUUUCUGCUUCCUGACCACGGGAAGCCCACUUUGUUGAACCGUCCCUGGGGGGGCAAAUGUUUUGGGGGCCGGGAGAGAGAGGAGGCCAAGUGCACCUGCCUAGGGGAGCCCACCAUGCCAGCUGACAGGGAGGGAGCCAGACAAGCCAGGCCAACCGCCCCCCAACAGCUCGGGUUUCUUUCCCAACCACAGCCUGGCCAGGCAGCUCAGCCCGCUUCCCCAGGGAACUCCCAGGGCCAGUCAAGGUAGCAGAAGGGUCAGGCAGCAGACCUUUCAAGGAAAAGCGGCACCUUGGCAGCACCUAGGGGAGCCUAAGCCAUGGCCAUCCACUGCCCUUGGAAAUCGCCACCAACCUUCCCUCAGUCCUGGCCGCCACUCUAAUUAAGCUCGGCCCUUGUCGCCUUGAGGCCAAGCUCUUCCAGAAGGAGAAGGAGUGUCCACCGUGAGACCCAGGGAUACGUGGGCACAGGAAGUAGUUUUUGGACAUUUUUCCCACCCCCCGAGAGAGCUUAGCAAGACAUGAUCAGCCCGGAUUACAGCUGCCCUCAUGUAACUGGGUUAAAGUGUUGGCCUACUUAGGCCCCUCCUGCAGUGGCCUCCUUCAAAGCUGAUGAGGCCGAUUAGGGGGCUAUUUCUGAGCCCUGGUUGUGUACCCAGAGGCUGGGGCUGUCCUCCCAUGAUGAGAAAGGCAGUAAGAAGCCGCAGCGCCAAGGGCCGAGUCUCCCCUGCGCCGUGGGAGAGCAGUGCCGCCAGACCCCAUGUGUUCUUGUGAAAGAGAGUCUGGUAACAUCAGGUCGAAGUCUCUGGGUUUGGAACUUCCAAAACCAAAACCAAGCCAUUUCCAGGCAAAGACCUUGUCCUGUGUCUUGGCCGUCUUCAGCCCUAGAGAGAGAUGGUGGGUAGUCAAAAUGAAGUCUUCAGCCAUAGUGACCAGCCUCUCUUUAGUAGGUUCUGUGCAUUUGAGGGAGAUGGUUCUUUUACCUGAGCCUCAGUUUGCUCAUCUAUAACAUGGCGAUAGCAGUAGUAAUUCCUCCUUCACAGCACAAGUGUCAAGAUUGGAUAGAUGAGGCACCCGGCACAGUGCCUGACCCAUCGUAAGCACUCCUUCCAUGAAUGUUAGAUGCCAUCACUGCUGCCAUUCCCACCGCCAUCGUCACCAUCAUCUUCAUCUUCAUUAAGACAGCGGAGCGAAUGAUAAAAAGCUGUCUCUGGAGCCUGACAAGCUCCGUUUGAAUGCUAGCUCUGCCCCUUUGUAGCUAGGUGGCUUUGGAUGACUGAUGACUUCUUUGAUCUGGGUUCUGGAAAAUGGGAAAUGCAUAAGGCUGUUGAAAAGUGUCUGACACGAUCCUUAUUGCAAAGUCUGCACUCAAUAAAUGUUGACUAUUAUGAUUAUUUAAAAGGGGUGAUCAAGAUUAGUAGUUACCAGGAGUUGGAGGUGGGGGAAUGAAGAGGCGAAACGGGGUUUUUAGGGCAGUGAAACUUCUCUGUGUGAUACUACAAUGGUAGAUACAUUUCAUUAGACAUUUACCAAAACCCAUAGACUGUACAGCAUCAAGAAUGAACCUUAAUGUAAACUCUGGACUUUGGUAUCAGUGUAGGUUCAUCAGUUGAAACAAAUGGACCACUGUGGUGUAGGAUGUUGAUAACACGAGAGGCUCUGUGUGCGUGAGGUGGAGGAGGCGGGGCAGGGAGUAUAUGGGAAUUCUCUGUACUUUCUGCUCAACUUUGCUGUGAACCUAAAACUGCUCUAAAAUUACAGUCUUUUUAAAAGGAAAAGAAAAAUAGAUCAAACUAGAUUGUUAUAAAUUGAGAAUGUUAACUCUAUCUCCAUGGUAACCACUAAGAAAAUAAGAUACAGAAAAGGAAAUGAAGAUGGAAUCAACGUGGUACACUAGGAAAAAAAUCCAUCAAACACAAAUGAAGGCUGUAUUGGAGGAAUUGAAGCACAUAAGAGAUAUGACACGUAGAAAACAAAUAGCACAGUGGCAGGAAAAAAAAUUUCUUCAUCAGUAAUCACUUUAAAUGUAAACGGGUUAAACUCACCAAUUAAAAGAUAGAUACUAGCCAAGUGGAUUUUAAAAAGACAUGCUCUAGCUAGAUGCUGCUUAUAAGAGACUCAAUUUAGAUCCAAAGACAAAUAGGUUGAAAGCGAAAGGAUGGAAAACGAUAUUUAAUGCAAAUAGCCAAAGGAAAGUGGAGAUGGUUAUAUAAUACCGGGCGAAGGAGAUUUUAAGUGAAAAACUGUUACGAGAGACAAGGGCAUUUUACUGAUAAAAGGAUCAAUUCAUCAAGAAGAUACAACAAUUAUAUAUAUAUUUAUACACACACACACAUACACACACACAAAACAACAGAGCUCCAUAAAAUAUGAAGGAAAUGUUGACAAAGUUGAAAAGAGAAAUGGACAGUUCUACAAUAAUAGGUGGAGACUUCUAUAUCCCAGUUUAAGUAAUGGAUAAAACAGACAAUACAUCUGUAAGGAACAGAAGGCUCGAGUAACACCUAAAAGGCAUACACAGGAUACGCUACAUGACAAGAGAACACAGAUUCUUCUCAAGUGUAGAUGGAACAUUCUCCAGGAUAGAUCAUAUCUUAGGCCGUCAGACAAUUAUCAAUAAAUUUUAAAAGAUUGAAAUUACUCACGGUAUCUGCUCUGAGCAAAUGAAUGAAGCUAGAAAUCAAAAACAGAAGGAAAACCGGUAAGACCGUAAACACGUGGAAAUGAAACAACACACUUAAACAACCAAAGGGCUAGAGAAGAAAUCGCUAGGGAAAUUAGAAAAUACCCAAAUUUAUGGGAUACAGUGAAAGCAGCAUUCAGAGUUAAAUUUAUAGUUGUAAAUACCUAUAUUAAAAAGGCAUCUCUGAAAUCAAUACCCUAACUUUACACACUGAGGAACUAGAAAAAGGAGUAGGCUACCCUUAAAGCCAACAGAAGCAAAGAAAGAGGAGUUCCUGUCGUGGCGCAGUGGUUAACGAAUCCGACUAGGAACCAUGAGGUUGCGGGUUCAAUCCCUGCCCUUGCUCAGUGGGUUAAGGAUCCGGCGUUGCCGUGAGCUGUGGCAGCUCAGAUCCCACGUUGCUGUGGCUCUGGCGUAGGCCGGUGGCUACAACUCCGAUUCGACCCCUAGCCUGGGAAUCUCCGUAUGCCGUGGGAGUGGCCCAAGAAAUGGCAAAAAGACC
rnacentral:lncRNA from 1 species